ensembl:rRNA 5S_rRNA 5S ribosomal RNA
GCUUACGGCCAUACCAUCUUGAAUGCGCCCGAUCUCGUCUGAUCUCGGAAGCUAAGCACAGUCAGGCCUGUUUAGUACUUGGAUGGGUGACCACCUGGGAAUACCAGGUGCUGUAAGCU